rnacentral:rRNA from 1 species
CAGAGGUCCCGAGCGUUGUUCGGAUUCACUGGGCGUAAAGGGUGCGUAGGUGGCAUGGCCAGUUUGAUGUGAAAGCUCAGGGCUUAACCCUGAAAUGGCAUUGAAUACUGCUGUGCUGGAGGUUUGGAGGGGGGACUGGAAUUCUUGGUGUAGCAGUGAAAUGCGUAGAUAUCAAGAGGAACACCAGUGGCGAAGGCGAGUCCCUGGACAACACCUGACACUGAGGCACGAAAGCCGGGGGAGCAAACAGGAUUAGAUACCCUGGUAGUCCCGGCCCUAAACGGUGCGUGUUUGCUGUAGGAGGAAUCGACCCCUUCUGUGGCGAAGCUAACGCGUUAAACACGCCGCCUGGGGAGUACGGUCGCAAGAUUA